GACGAACGCUGGCGGCGUGCUUAACACAUGCAAGUCGUACGGUAAGGCCCUUUCGGGGGUCCACGAGUGGCGAACGGGUGAGUAACACGUGAGUAACCUGCCCACAACUUUGGGAUAACGCUAGGAAACUGGUGCUAAUACUGGAUAUGUGCUCCUGCUGCAUGGUGGGGGUUGGAAAGCUCCGGCGGUUGUGGAUGGACUCGCGGCCUAUCAGCUUGUUGGUGGGGUAGUGGCCUACCAAGGCGGCGACGGGUAGCCGGCCUGAGAGGGUGACCGGCCACAUUGGGACUGAGAUACGGCCCAGACGCCUACGGGAGGCAGCAGUGGGGAAUAUUGCACAAUGGGCGCCAGCCUGAUGCAGCAACGCCGCGGGCGGGAUGACGGCCUUCGGGUUGUAAAACGCUUUCAGCAGGGACGAAGCUUUUUGUGACGGUACCUGCAGAAGAAGCACCGGCUAACUACGUG
rnacentral:rRNA from 1 species